CGUGAAAUCAGAUACACUGUAACCAUUGACGUUUACCAUGGAUAAUCGAAAGGUAAGUCUGUACAUGAUUUGCUAUAAGGAGUAUAAGAAUCCCAAUGCUGUAGUGGUUCUGGUAAUGGCUGGAGUCAAAGCAAGUAACCUAUGCUGCAGUGGCGUAACUAUCCAGGGUGCAGGAGGUCCGGUUGUAAUAAAGUGUAAUAAAAUAAACAUACAAUUUCUGGUGAGGAAUAAAUUAGGACACCCCCACAUUUUGUCCCACUUAAAAUGGCUGAAAUCACACACAGGUGUAUCACAUCAGGUGCACACGAUUAGAACAUUGUUACUCACGGGAGGUGUGCAAGGAGGAAACCUUUACUCUCCAAGAGAAACACUAAGGCCAGACUGAAGUUUGCCAGAGAGAACGUAGACAAAGAACAGGACUUCUGGAAUAAUGUUCUUUGGUCAGAUGAGUCUAAAAUGUAAUUAUUUGGACACCAGAACAGAGGACAUGUUUGACGCACACCAAAUACAGCGUUCCAGGAAAAGAACCUCAUACUAACUGUGAAGCAAGGAGGUGGAAGUGUCAUGGUUUGGGGAUGCUUUGCUGCAGCAGGACCUGGCCAGCUCACCAUCAUAGAAUCCAUCAUGAAUAUAAUUGAAAUAUAAUAUAAUUGAAAGCGGUAAGAAAAUUAAAGCUGAAGCGGAAUUGGACCCUGCAACAUGACAAUGACCCUAAACAUACCAGUAAAUCCACCAAGGACUGGCUGAAAACGAAGAAAUGGAGAGUCCAGGAAUGGCCCAGUCAAAGCCCAGAUCGUAAUCCCAUUGAGAUGCUGUGGGGUGACUUGAAACGGGCUGUACAUGCAAGAAACCCCUCAAACAUCACACAGGUUAAAGCAUUCUGCAUUGAGGAGUGGGGCAAAUUUUCCUCAAACCAAUGUCAGAGACUGGUAGGGGGUUACAAGAAGCAUCUCACUGAAGUUAUUUCAGCCAAAAGGGGGUAACACUAGGUAUUAGGGGGUAACACUAGGUAUUAGGGGGUAACACUAGGUAUUAGGGGGUAACACUAGGUAUUAGGGGGUAACACUAGGUAUUAGGGGGUAACACUAGGUAUUAGGGGGUCCUAACUUUUUCCUCAGUUAGAAUAUGCAUUAAUGUUGAUGUCUUUUGUUUAAUGAGUAAAACAAUUAUUUUUUGCUGUUUACCUGCAAUUAGAUCACUUUCUUUUCCAGAGAUGAAUAAAACAAGAUUAGACAUCGAUAUGUGAACAUUUCUUAAUGAAUAACUAAAUAUGUAAUGGGGUGUCCUAAUUUCUUCACAUGACUGUGUAUGACUGCUUGUUAAUUUUUCAAAUCGAGGUGAAAUCAGUUUUAUAUUCGAGACUCGACAGACAUUCACAUUCAUUCCUCCGUUCAGGCUCACUUCCACAUUUAGGUACCAAGGUAAAAGAGUAAAUCAGGUAGUUGCCGAACUGUCAGAAGACAAAUAUAGUAUGAUUAUGGACUCUCAUCAACAUCAUUCCAACAUCAUGCUAAAUAUUAUAACACAUUGGAAAUCAAAUAUCUUUUUCAAUGAUUGUCAUAGGAACUUCAGACCUGGUGUAUAUUAUUCUAGGAAUAGGUGGCAUAUUUGCUCAAGCUUUGUUUUGGUGCAAAAACUCUUUAUUGAUGUAUUAAUAAUCAAUAAAUCAAUAGAGACACCUUUAAUUCUGUAUUUCUUCAAUAUCAUUUUCGAUAAUAAUCAUAGGAACUUCAAACCUGGUGUAAAUCAAUAAAGAACUUUUUGACAGUAUGGUAUAAUAUUGUAAGGACAGUAUGCACCCCGCUGUGCUAGGCAGAUAAUCUAAUUGAAUCUCUCGUGUCCUCGCCAAUCUUUCUCAAAACAAGUUGAUUGAGAAAGCACUCUAACCUUCUUUAAUUUCCAGGUUGAAUUUGCUUCUAGGCUCCCUUUCCUUCUAUCAAUUGCUACCUACAUCCUUACUUUCUUUCCUAACUUCCUUAGCCCCUUACCUAGUUCCUUUUAUUUACUUGCUUAUUUCCUUUUCUACUUUCCUAGCUCCUAGUUUCAGUGACAGGCUAAAUAGUAGGCUAAAUGUAGGCUCUGUGUUGUGUGUAAUGGUAGUGAAAUGCACAACCUAAAGUGUCUCUCUGUCUGGAGUUAAACAAGACCUUCACAGGGCAUGCUAACAAAGACAUACCUUGGUGUUUGUGCCACAUAUAAUAUAUGUUCUUAUUUGUUCCCAUCAGAGGUUAAACAAAGAAGAUCGAAAAGAUAAUCGACAGUCUGGAAAACUGAAGACGUAUUUCCUGACAAUAAACAAACCAAAUGGUGGUCAACAAAAGGAGCACUUUCCUAAGGAGGCUGUGAAGAGACCAAAGGUCAAGCAUAGCGACCUGCAUGCAGCUGGCUGGUUCCUGACCCUACUUAGCCUGGUCGGUGUCGUUCGGCCCAAGGAUGGGAGAGCAGAUGAGGGUGGAAGUGGUGUGGGGGAGCCAGUAGGGGGCGCUCACUGUAAGGUGAAGGAUCUGCCUCAGUCUGGGCAGAAGUUUGACAACACAAAGAAAGUCAAGACCAAGAGGAUGAAGAGAGACCAAGUGGAGACAAUCACUGAGAGAGAUCGAGGUCCAAAGUCUAACUCUCUUUUAACUGCAGGUCCCUCAACAUCUACAGGAGUUCAACACGUACAAUCUGGUGGGAAUGUCCAGAGUCAGACCGCCAGGGCUCCUGACCUCCAUGCCGUCAAACUAGAUUCUUUCAACGCUAUAUUCAUCAGUUUUCUGGAAGAACUAACAGCGGAGCAAUUGAAGCUGUUAAGAGGCUGCAGUAUGGACCCUGUGAUGAAGACACUACUUGCAGAGAUGUUGUCGGAGAGUGCACAGUUUGUGUCCGAGGCCGUGCUGGAGGUCAUCAUGCCUGCAGUUGUUAAAACACACGGGCCUGUGCCUCCAGUAUCCACCAAGACAAGACGCAGCGAUGUUAAGGUCUGCAAGAUUGGCCAAAACAACUCCUCAACACCCUCAUUAAGCUCCUCUUCUAAUGGGUCUCAGACAGGGGUACCAAGGACUCUGGGAGACGGUGGGUUUAAAUCGUCUGAGCCUCUCCGUGACCUUUUUGGAAUCACUGAGGAGAUCCUCCUCAGUGACAUCAAGGAUCCCUUUAGAGUGCUGAUAAGCAAAUUCCUUCGAGUCCAAAGAGAAGUCCAGCUAGAUACCCAAACUCUAUUCCGGGUUAUUGUUGAAGACGUAUCCAAGAAAGUCAACUCCAUGAUCUCUGACGCCAUCCAAACACCAAGGUUUACUGGGCUGCAGGGCCCUGUCAUUUUUUCCAGUGGUGGUGUCUCCAACACCAAGGUCAUUGAGGAGAUGGUGUCUGGUGCCUCCGUAGCACUUCAGAUGUUCGUUAAUGGACAGAACAUAGGAGAGCAGAACAUUGUUUUCGAUGAUGUCGAGGCGGAUAUAUCAAAUUUAACAGGACAACUCAUGACAGCCCUUAGUGAAACCGCUUUGUCCUGCGGCGACAAAGAGAGGGAGAAGGCCUACUCGGAGAAAGCGGAUUUGCUAGAUGUUGUUUGGGACAAUAUAAAAGAAUUAGUAACUGGCAACAGUUGGGAGGGAAAGCUAAGAUAUGGACAGGCUCACCACAGUGGCCAUGGUGCAAAAUGGAACAUAAGCCUGUCAACACAGAGUAUGGACAGGUUACUCACUCAGGAGUUUCAGACCAAGGCCACUGAUACGAUCAGGAACGUUACUAGAAGAUUCUUCUAUUACUCGUCUUGUUGUUCUGUAGUUCCGUCAACUAUGUCAAUACAUUACAUGAGCGAGAUGGGAAACCUUUGGGAACGCAACUCUGCUAUAAUGGACCCUGAUGCCACCGAGUUGCUAAAUACUUUUGUUUCCAAGAUGACCAGUCUCACACAGUCCAUCAGAUCAUCCAGCUCUCCAGCAGAGAGAGAGCAGAUCCUCCUUGAAAACCAUCAGUGUAAGAUCUGGUCUUGCACUGUUGAUUGUUAUAACAGCAUGAAGAGCACACUGAAGCGGAUUUUUGUGUGUCCCAAAGAAGAGAUUUUGGGUACAUUUGUGGAACCCACCGCUGGUUCGUCAACACUGGUUGCAACAUUACGCCCCGGUCUCGCCUCCCAAAUGUUAACGCAAAACCAUGUCCUCUUUGACACUGCUAAAGAGAUUGUCAACCAGGUUCUGGCCUUAUCUAAUGGAGGGAGUAAUUCUGAAAUGUCUUUGGCGGCCAAUGGAUUUGUGGAUGCCAUCUUGGCUGACUUGAAUGGUUCCACUGAUUUGGAUGCGUCGGCAAGUGAGCAGUGUCUCUCGGAGUUCACCACACCAUCUGUAUCCCUGUGUUUUGACAAACUAUGUACUGAGGAGUUUCAAACUAAAGCUUCACAUGUGGUUAGUGGGAUCCUUCAUUCAGGCUUGAUUAACUUUGUAAAUACAGGCCUAGAUGUUAGACGUGAAGAGAUUUUAAACAGAACAUGUAUUUAUGGUCAUGAUACAGAUGUCAAAAGACUCCAAAAGACUGAGUCUUUAUCCACCCCUUUACUUCACACCAAAGCUGUAGCCUCUGAAAUUGUCAAAACCAUGGCUAAAGAUGUUGAUAGCUUCACCCAGAUGAUUCAAGUGUCUGGCAGUGCUGUGUCAGGUAAGUUUGAGAAAUCCUUGUCCGCUUCAGGCCAUGAUAGAGUCAGCAUCAAAGGAAAACCGUGUCCAUACACAUUUAUGCUGUUCAACAGUGUGUUCAACAAGGUCAAAGAUUUCUUUGUCCAGCAACAACGAGUCCUACUAGCAAAUGUUGCAGAAGCUGCCAUACAUCACAUAUCUACUCCCAUAGAUAUGUCAGGCACUGAACAACAAACCAGCCAGACAAACAUGGAGAGUUAUUGCAAAGCAUUUGUCAGUCAGACUCUGAUGUCCAUCCAGGAUAGAAUGACCAAGUCAGAGAGAGUGAAGACGGCAGAAGGCCUAGUGACUUGCUCCAUUGUGAACUCCAUGUUGGAGGAGCUUGAUGGGAUGAGUGAGGAUGGUAAUGUUGGCUUGGGAACACAUCGGGCAACUUCAAAGUACUUACGCUCCAUUACUUCUUCAAAAUCCAGAGCUUCCCAGGUUGAUGAUUUUAGGAAUCCUUUACCGGGCACUCCAAUCCCAGAUGAGUGGCCUGUUGAAAGUAAUUUCCCCAUCAUUAGGAGUUCGGUCAUUGAUAUGUGUCCUCAUCUAAUUCCAAAGUGUCACCAAAGAAGUCAAGCCAAACCAUCACUAGCUAAGUAGAAACUGUUAUGGAGGUCAUUCAAAGAGAAGAAAAUUAUGGACAUUGCAACACAGUUCCAGUCUUCACAACUUUUCACAUGAGCUCACUGACAAAGGUUUAACUCAUAGUCACAACACACCCCAAGAUCUUUUUGUCCCUGCCAGAUUCAACUCUUUUGAAGCUAAAGACCAGAUUGGAACCUUCUCAACAACCCUGGGAGAUUUAGCUGCUCCACCGUCUCAAGUAUCAGGACAGAAGGCUGCUUACCUACAGCAGUUCUGCCACCUCCACUACUUCCUCAAAUGUUUAUCGUGAAACAGAAAACCUGUUUAAAUUAUCUGUGUCCGACUUACCAAAUAUGUUCCACUUGAACUCUGUUAAGGGUGCAUCUUCCAGACAUCUGACAUUUGACCCCAACAGCAACGACUAUACCUCUUUAGGCAUGUUACUGAUUCUUAGACCGCUGUCCAAGAUCAGCCCAGCCACAUCAAUGGAAUCAUCUGAUAUUGGUGAAAUAUCAAUAGUUGUCACCAAGAGGAUAUGGCCUGAUUUCUGCGAUACCUCAAGUCUUGGAACAAACUGAAGCUUACCCCCAGAAUCAUAAAAUCUAAAAGAUUUUGAAGAACGUCUACAAAGAGCUUUUUCAAAAAUGUGGGUCAAAAAAGUUGCUCCAGAUUGAGGCCACAGGAUUCUGCAUUUGACAAUGCAUUGGUGAUAUUCUUAACCCAGGAACGUUUAAACGAAUGCAACGAGCCCACCUCCCCCCGUGAUCAAGAGGUCCUCAGAAAAUGCACUUGGCUGUGACAAGACCAACCCGGUUAGGUUUUGGGCUGGUGAAGAGGAAAAAAGAUCAGUAUUCUGUGUUCCAUUUCCACUCUUGUCGAAGCAUUCGAAUAAGGUCAACAGUGCUUCAACACCUUCCCAGAACCGGACCCCUGCUGUCAGUAAACUAGCAAUUGUCAACCAUGAAAACACUUGCCAAACAGAGAAUUUAUCUUCCACCAAGAAGAAAUCAAGGAAGCAGUUCUUUUCAGGGACAUUUGCAGGUUUAAUAAAUGCCCUAUGCAGUGUUUUUUCCUUUUGGAUUAAUUGGAGGUGUUCCUGAU
ensembl:lncRNA